GAGCGAUCAAGUGACUUAAGGGCAUCUGGUGGAUGCCUUGGCGGUAAGAGGCGAUGAAGGACGUGGUACGCUGCGAUAUGCUUCGGGAAGGCGCGAACAGCCGUUGAUCCGAAGAUUUCCGAAUGGGGAAACCCACCUUCGACAUCUUGAAAUUCGCACCCGUGCAAACGGGUUCGGAUUUCAGGGUGUCACAAGAAGGUAUUUAGCCCUGAAUACAUAGGGGUUAAAAGCAAACCCAGGGAACUGAAACAUCUCAGUACCUGGAGGAAAGGACAUCAACCGAGACUCCGCGAGUAGUGGCGAGCGAAAGCGGACUAGGCCAGUGAUAAAGCAAUGACAACUGGAACCAUCUGGAAAGUUGGGCCUCAGCGGGUGACAGCCCCGUACAGGUAAUGCAGAGCUUUAUCCUCGAGUAGAACGGGACACGUGCAAUCCUGUUUGAACAUGGGGGGAUCACCCUCCAAGCCUAAGUACUCCUUACCGACCGAUAGUGCACCAGUACCGUGAGGGAAAGGUGAAAAGCACCCCGACGAGGGGAGUGAAAUAGUACCUGAAACCGGAUGCCUACAAACAGUCGGAGCCCGCAAGGGUGACGACGUACCUUUUGUAUAAUGGGUCUGCGACUUAGUCUGACGAGCAAGCUUAAGGCGAUAGCUGUAGGCGUAGCGAAAGCGAGUCUGAACAGGGCGUUCAGUUCGUCGGAUUAGACCCGAAACCUGUCGAUCUUGCCAUGGUCAGGUUGAAGGUGGGGUAACACCCACUGGAGGACCGAACCGGUGUCUGUUGAAAAAGCCUCGGAUGAACUGUGGCAAGGGGUGAAAGGCCAAUCAAGGCAGGAAAUAGCUGGUUCUCCGCGAAAUCUAUUUAGGUAGAGCCUCGGAUGAAUACUCGAGGGGGUAGAGCACUACAUGGGCUAGGGGCCCCUACAGGGUUACCAAACCUAAGUAAACUCCGAAUACCUCGAAGUACUAUCCGGGAGACACACGGCGGGUGCUAACGUCCGUCGUGAAGAGGGAAACAACCCUGAUCGCCGUCUAAGGUCCCCAAAUCACUGCUAAGUGUGAAAGGAUGUGGGAAUCCCAUAACAACCAGGAUGUUGGCUUAGAAGCAGCCAUCAUUUAAAGAAAGCGUAACAGCUCACUGGUCUAAACAAGGGUUUCUGCGCCGAAAAUGUAACGGGGCUAAAGCAGUGUACCGAAGACGCGGGUGUACAGCAAUGUACGCGGUAGCGGAGCGUUCCGUAAGCCUGUGAAGGGAGACUCGUGAGAGCUCCUGGAGGUAUCGGAAGUGCGAAUGCAGACAUGAGUAACGAAAGAAGUGUGAGAAACACUUCCUCCGAAAGUCCAAGGGUUCCUGCGUAAAGUUAAUCUGCGCAGGGUUAGCCGGCCCCUAAGGCGAGGGCGAAAGCCGUAGUCGAUGGGAACCACGUUAAUAUUCGUGGGCCAGUGGGUGUGUGACGGAUGCAGCAAGUUGUUGAGGCUUAUUGGAUUGCCGAGGCAGCGAAUGUGUCCCUGGAAAUAGCCCCCACAUAGACCGUACCCGAAACCGACACAGGUGGACUGGUAGAGAAUACCAAGGAGCUUGAGCGAAGUGUGCUGAAGGAACUCGGCAAAUUACCUGCGUAACUUCGGGAGAAGCAGGCUAUCUCUUCGGGCAACCGGAGGGGUAGGGCACAAACUAGGGGGUGGCGACUGUUUACCUAAAACACAGGGCUAUGCUAAGUCCAACGACGACGUAUAUGGCCUGACGCCUGCCCGGUGCUGGAAGGUUAAGAGGAGAGGUUCACGCCUUGAAUCGAAGCCCCAGUAAACGGCGGCCGUAACUAUAACGGUCCUAAGGUAGCGAAAUUCCUUGUCGGGUAAGUUCCGACCUGCACGAAUGGNNNNNNNNNNNNNNNNNNNNNNNNNNNNNNNNNNNNNNNNNNNNNNNNNNGGUGGAGCCGAAAUGUGAAAUACCACCCUAGUGAUUAUGGUUGUCUAACCGCGGUCCGUUAUCCGGAUCCGGGACAGCGCAUGGUGGGCAGUUUGACUGGGGCGGUCGCCUCCUAAAUCGUAACGGAGGCGUGCGAAGGUGGGCUCAGGUUGGUCGGAAAUCAACCGUCGAGUGCAAUGGCAUAAGCCCGCCUGACUGCGAGACUGACAAGUCGAGCAGAGUCGAAAGACGGCCAUAGUGAUCCGGUGGUUCUUUGUGAGAGGGCCAUCGCUCAACGGAUAAAAGGUACGCCGGGGAUAACAGGCUGAUGACGCCCAAGAGUCCAUAUCGACGGCGUCGUUUGGCACCUCGANNNNNNNNNNNNNNNNNNNNNNNNNNNNNNNNNNNNNNNNNNNNNNNNNNGGAUGGACGCACCUCUGGUGGACCUGUUGUCGUGCCAACGGCACAGCAGGGUAGCUAUGUGCGGACGGGAUAACCGCUGAAGGCAUCUAAGCGGGAAACCCACCUCAAAACUAGUUCUCCCUCGAGAGUCGUGGAAGACCACCACGUUGAUAGGCCGGGUGUGGAAGCGCUGCAAGGCGUGUAGCUUACCGGUACUAAUAACUCGAUUGGCUUGAUUGCUCUCAUUU
rnacentral:rRNA from 1 species